UCUUUCUUCUUCCAAUUGUUUUGCUUUGUCAUUGAGCUCAUACUUGGCAUGUUUUUACUCUCGUUUUGCAUUUAGCUCAACUUCUCAAUAUUUGCACCUUUGGUCAUCGAGCUAUCAAUUUGUUGCGUUUUGGUCCUUCUUCGGCUCUUUUCUCCUGAAUUUCACAAUUUCCAUUGAAUUACCUACAAUGCAUGAAUUUAACUAGAUUAAGUCACAAUUCAACCAUUUUAUCCAUGUUUAAG
rnacentral:lncRNA from 1 species